rnacentral:tRNA from 1 species
GACUCAAAAAAUCCGUUGGUUCCAAAGGACCGUGAGG